GAUGAACGCUGACAGAAUGCUUAACACAUGCAAGUCAACUUGAAUUUGGGUUUUUAUCUUCGGUUUGGGUGGCGGACGGGUGAGUAACGCGUAAAGAACUUGCCUCACAGCUAGGGACAACAAUCGGAAACGAAUGCUAAUACCUAAUAUUAUGAUAAUAGGGCAUCCUAUAUUUAUGAAAGCUAUAAGCCGUGUGAGAGAGCUUUGCGUCCCACUAGCUAGUUGGAGAGGUAACGGCUCACCAAGGGGAUGAUGGGUAGCCGGCCUGAGAGGGUGAUCGGCCACAAGGGGACUGAGGCACGGCCCUUACUCCUACGGGAGGCAGCAGUGGAGAACAUUGGACAAUAGACCGAGAGUCUGAUCCAGCAAUUCUGUGUGCACGAUGAAGUUUUUCGGAAUGUAAAGUGCUUUCAGUUAGGAAGAAACGAAUGACGGUACCAACAGAAGAAGUGACGGCUAAAUACGUG
rnacentral:rRNA from 1 species